rnacentral:rRNA from 1 species
ACUCCUACGGGAGGCAGCAGUGGGGAAUUUUGGACAAUGGGCGCAAGCCUGAUCCAGCCAUGCCGCGUGUCUGAAGAAGGCCUUCGGGUUGUAAAGGACUUUUGUUAGGGAGCAAGUCCUGCAGGUUAAGAGCUAGUAGGGAUGAGAGUACCUAAAGAAUAAGUACCGGCUAACUACGUGCCAGCAGCCGCGGUAAU